GAUGAACGCUGGCGGCGUGCCUAAUACAUGCAAGUCGAGCGAACAGACGAGGAGCUUGCUCCUCUGACGUUAGCGGCGGACGGGUGAGUAACACGUGGAUAACCUACCUAUAAGACUGGGAUAACUUCGGGAAACCGGAGCUAAUACCGGAUAAUAUAUUGAGCCGCAUGGUUCAAUAGUGAAAGACGGUUUUGCUGUCACUUAUAGAUGGAUCCGCGCCGCAUUAGCUAGUUGGUAAGGUAACGGCUUACCAAGGCGACGAUGCGUAGCCGACCUGAGAGGGUGAUCGGCCACACUGGAACUGAGACACGGUCCAGACUCCUACGGGAGGCAGCAGUAGGGAAUCUUCCGCAAAGGGCGAAAGCCUGACGGAGCAACGCCGCGUGAGUGAUGAAGGUCUUCGGAUCGUAAAACUCUGUUAUUAGGGAAGAACAAAUGUGUAAGUAACUAUGCACGUCUUGACGGUACCUAAUCAGAAAGCCACGGCUAACUACGUG
rnacentral:rRNA from 1 species